CCUACGGGCCGCAGCAGUGGGGAAUAUUGCACAAUGGGCGCAAGCCUGAUGCAGCCAUGCCGCGUGUAUGAAGAAGGCCUUCGGGUUGUAAAGUACUUUCAGCGGGGAGGAAGGCGAUAAGGUUAAUAACCUUGUCGAUUGACGUUACCCGCAGAAGAAGCACCGGCUAACUCCGUGCCAGCAGCCGCGGUAAUACGGAGGGUGCAAGCGUUAAUCGGAAUUACUGGGCGUAAAGCGCACGCAGGCGGUCUGUCAAGUCGGAUGUGAAAUCCCCGGGCUCGACCUGGGAACUGCAUUCGAAACUGGCAGGCCAGAGUCUUGUAGAGGGGGGUAGGAUUCCAGGUGUAGCGGUGAAAUGCGUAGAGAUCUGGAGGAAUACCGGUGGCGAAGGCGGCCCCCUGGACAAAGACUGACGCUCAGGUGCGAAAGCGUGGGGAGCAAGCAGGAUUAGAUACCCAGUAGUC
rnacentral:rRNA from 1 species